rnacentral:rRNA from 1 species
UCGAGAAUCUUCCGCAAUGGACGAAAGUCUGACGGAGCGACGCCGCGUGCGGGAUGAAGGCCCUUGGGUUGUAAACCGCUGUCAGAGGGGAUGAAAUCUUCGAAGGUUAUCCUUCGAAGUUGACAGAGCCUCAAGGGAAGCACGGGCUAAGUACGUGCCAGCAGCCGCGGUAACACGUACUGUGCGAACGUUAUUCGGAAUCACUGGGCUUAAAGGGUGCGUAGGCGGCGAUACAAGUCAGGUGUGAAAUGCCGGAGCUCAACUGCGGCAUUGCGCUUGAAACUGUGUUGCUGGAGUAUUUCAGGGGUGUGGGGAACUGCCAGUGGAGCGGUGAAAUGUGUUGAUAUUGGCAGGAACACCGGAGGCGAAAGCGCCACACUGGGGGAAUAACUGACGCUGAGGCACGAAAGCCAGGGGAGCGAACGGGAUUAGAUACCCGCGUAGUCCCUGAGCGGGCUGGCAAGGCGCAU